rnacentral:tRNA from 1 species
GGUCCCGUGGUGUAGCGGUUAUCACGUCGCCCUGUCACGGCGAAGAUCGCGGGUUCGAUUUCCCGUCGGGACCG